GUGAACCGGUAGGAUGGAAACGGAUAGAGCCGGCGAAGUCGCUCGUAUUCAGCCAAAGGCUCGGGGCUUCCCUGGCGUUGAGUUGCUAACCACUCUCAGCGUUGGUGUGUUGUCCUGGGGUUGAGGGGCUUUUACGGGCGUUGGCGCUGAAACUUGCAAGGCAGCUGCUGGACCCGGGUUCUAAAGGUUUCCCUCUGGGUUGAACCUGGUCSSGGUUGACGGUGGUUUGCCUUGCUCGUACGGGGUUUGGCUUACGGACCGGGGGGGGGGGGUCGGGGUUGCSGGGGGGAAUCGCAUGCAAUGCCUASCGAAAGGCUUGCCCUGUUGUUUCGGGUUCCCAGGCCCCCUCUCGGGGUAAAAGCCGGYCUUCUCUCCAACCCGUCUUGAAACACGGACCAAGGAGUUUAACGUAUGCGCAAGUCAUUGGGGGCUGAAACCUUAGGCGCAUUGAAGAAAAGACCAUUCGUUGGGUUGACUUGUGAKGGUGGGUGGUUCGGCCUUGCACGCACCAGGUCCAUGGUAUCGUUGCAUGCAGUGGAACAGACCGAUGCCUGAACCCGAGAUGGUGACUAUCUGACCAGACAAGCCAAGAACUUGGUGAAGUCGAGCGAUCUGACUGCAAUCAUCGCU
rnacentral:rRNA from 1 species